GCUGCAUAAUAAAUGUGUUUUUAAUCUGUAACAUACAUUACUCAACAAAUACGAUAGUAUUGUUUGAUACCUCUUUCACAAUAGAUUCCAUCUUCUUCAAUACAUUAGAUAUGACCAAGUCUACAUGCACUUGAACUUCCUUAGGUUUCAUUGCCUCCAACUGUCUUGGUUGCUUAAAUCCAAGAUCGAGAUCAAAAGAUGGAGGUUCAAGGGAAUAUGGUAAUUCAAGUUCACCCAUCGAGUCAACCUUGCCUUUACCUUUUGAAUCAACACUUUUUUCGACGUUUCUAGCCUA
rnacentral:lncRNA from 1 species